AAAGGAAUAGACGGGGACCCGCACAAGCAGCGGAGCAUGUGGUUUAAUUCGAAGCAACGCGAAGAACCUUACCAGGACUUGACAUGUCACUGACCGGUAUAGAGAUAUACUUUUCUCUUCGGAGACAGUGAACACAGGUGGUGCAUGGUUGUCGUCAGCUCGUGUCGUGAGAUGUUGGGUUAAGUCCCGUAACGAGCGCAACCCCUAUUUUUAGUUGCUAACAGCUAGGCUGAGCACUCUAGAGAGACUGCCGAUGAUAAAUCGGAGGAAGGUGGGGAUGACGUCAAAUCAUCAUGCCCUUUAUGUCCUGGGCUACACACGUGCUACAAUGGUCGGUACAACGAGAAGCCACUUAGUGAUAAGGCGCAAAUCUCUAAAAGCCGAUCCCAGUUCGGAUUGUAGGCUGCAACUCGCCUACAUGAAGUUGGAGUUGCUAGUAAUCGCAGAUCAGAAUGCUGCGGUGAAUGCGUUCCCGGGUCUUGUACACACCGCCCGU
rnacentral:rRNA from 1 species